UUCAACGUGAGAGUUUGAUCCUGGCUCAGAGCGAACGCUGGCGGCAGGCUUAACACAUGCAAGUCGAGCGGGCCCUUCGGGGUCAGCGGCGGACGGGUGAGUAACGCGUGGGAACGUGCCUUCUGGUUCGGAAUAACCCUGGGAAACUAGGGCUAAUACCGGAUACGCCCUUUUGGGGAAAGGUUUACUGCCGGAAGAUCGGCCCGCGUCUGAUU
rnacentral:rRNA from 1 species